ACACCAACAAAUUUAACGGAAAAAAUUAACAAUGUAACAAUUUGACCUAAAUUUUGAAACAUGAAAAAUAGAACAAUUAAAUUUCUGAAAAUAUCAGUACAGGGAUCGAUGGCAUAUUUUAACCAAAUUAACAAUAUAAUCAAGUUAAAUGUUAAAUGCAUAACUUUAGCACUCCACAGCCGACCUGAUCACCGGAUUCAAAUAUGAGACACUAUAUUCGUUGUUGAAACAACUUGAACCAUCUUCUAUUUCAAAUCAAAUACAAAUAUCAAGCUUUUAUCACAUUAUACAAAACAUUCAUUUUGAUUAAAAACAAAUUCAAGUCAUUUUAAACACUUUAGAAUCAUUUUUAAACAAGUUCUAGGUGCUUGGGUAUGAUCGAGACCAAGUUCGGGUCUCCGGGAGUUGAAACAAGUCAAAAUAGGGGAGGGAUCGUAUCUGUAGAAGUCCCUGCUACUGGUUUACUUGUACCGAUACAUCUUAGCACUUGCAUCGGUAGAAGUUUGUCAGGAUCCAAAAAAUACCCUAAAACACACCUCAUUUGACCUAAAACAAUACCAAAUCAUUUCUAAACAUUAUGAAACACUAAAUACAAGUUUUAAACACCAUUUAAGCAUCUUUAAACACAUUCAAACAUAAGCCUUCAAACACGAACAUCACUUUACCAAUUUCAUACUUCAAUUUUAUCUACUUGACAUGGAAGCAACCAAUGACUGAUAGCAUAGCAAUAAUUUAAGAUCAUGCAUCUCAACUUAAUCACAUAAUCAUAUCAUCGAACAUUUAGAUUAUUGAACAUGUUUAACUUGAAUAUUUUGAAGCAUAGAAGAUACCAAGGCAUCAUAAUUGACUCCAAAAACUAAAUUACAACACUAGGUACAAGCCGACUCUAUUUUAGCAUUCAACUUACGAUUCAAACAUUACUGAGCUGAGAUUUGAAACCUGGAUGCUGCCAACCUUCUUGAAUCCAUGAGACCUAAUUGAAAUCUGCGCACAGAAACAAACAAAUCCACACACUAAACAAAAGAGCUCAAUGGUGCUAACAUAAUUCGAAAACAAUGUAUAUAAUAAAAUUUAAACAUAUAAAUUUGAUAUAAAAUCAUUUUUAACAAGUGUAUAUCAAGGAAUCUUUGUUUCAUGUUCUUUACUAAAACUGUCAUACCAAAUUCAUGCUUGAGUUAAGUCUCAUAUAACAUCAUCUCAUUAUGCCUUUAAUGCCAUGCACGAUCAUAUCUAGUAUCAUCAAUUAGAUUUAAGCAUAACAUCAAUACUAUCUCAAUUUAAUUAAUAAUCAUAUGGCAUUCUCAUACCACUAUUGAUAUCUCAACAUCAUGAUUCAAAAGGCAUUUCAUAUAAAAAUAUUCAUUUUCUCAUUUCAUGAUCGAAUCGAUUGAUUCAUUUUAUAACCAUAUCGGCCCUCGGGGCUCGUAAUAUCCGAAUCGCAUGGUUUUUCACAUGCUAUCUUUCCAUGCUUUAAUAAUUCAUUCUCAGUUUCCACAAUCAACAUUUAACAUUAAACUUCUACUGUUAUUAAGCAAAUCACAUGAUUUAUAAUCCCUAUUAACCAAACACAGAGUCAAGAUGGAUACACGGAUCAACCAAUCAUUACACCAAAAUAGCUGACACUCAGUGCAUCAUUGGUACAUUCGAAAUAAUGUGCGCUCUGCGCCUCAUCGGUAUGAACCGAAGUAAUAUAUGUAAAUGUGCCUAGCACCUUAUUAGUAAAAACCAAAAUAAACCCCAUACACUAAUCCUAUAUCAUGCCAACUAUAUCUGACUCUAUCCAAGACAGUUAAAUGUAUUCAAUAUUUCAAAGUAUAUAUGUUCCACAUGUAUAUAUCAAAUUCAUAUCUCUCUAAAAUCAUUUAUCAUUUCAUAACAUUAGUAUUCUUUUACAUUUCAAAUACAAUCAAUAUGGCAAUUCACAUAUCAUUUACAUGUCAAUUUCAUGCUUUUAUAUAUCAUCUACUUAUGCAUUCAUACUUUCACAUAUCAAUAUCACAUUUAUCUCAUAGUUACAUUUUCACAUCAAGAUAAGUAUACAUACAAAUACACAAACUAUCAUCACAUUAUAAUCAUUCAUCAUAUAUACUAUCAUCAUAGCUUUCACAAGUCCACAACCAUAUAAUACUUACCAAAUCAUGAGACAAGUAGGGUCCUUACCUUAAUCAAGCUAUUUUAUAACAAGUCAUAUAUAUAAUAUUCAAAUCAUGAAACCACAAACCAGAUAAAGCUACUCGUCUACAGUUUUCGCCUUUCCUUUAUCCCACGACGUCCCGAGUCUUUAGCUACAUAUGAUAAUUCAAUUAUUGACGCGAUAUUAGUUUUCAUACAAACACAUCAAUUAAACAUAAAUUGCAUUUUACUCAUUUUAGCCCCUAUAAGCCCUAAUAUCCGAAAUGCUUGGAUUUUUCAAUAUCUAAUGUCAAAUCAAAAUUUAAUUUCAUAUUUUUUCAUUAAAGACCCAAAGCUUUCAAUCUACAACAAAAUUUUCUAAACGCUUUCACUUUAUUUAAUUUGACCCCUAAUGUCAUAAAAUUAAUUAUAGGUUUUAGUUGAAUUUCUAAUCAAAUCCAACACUUUUCUCUACUUUCUAACUUAGUCCUAAUAUAAUUUAAGCUAAUCCUUCAAAAAUCUAUUACUAUCAAUUUUAAUUUCAUGAAAACUCAUUAAUGGAAACUUGGAUUUAACUUGACAAUUUGGAAAUCUAAAACAUGGGUAUGCAAGACAAAGCUUAGUUGAUAAAAUAUCUAUAAUAAUCUCAUGAAAAUAACUUGGUUACCUUGGUUAUUUGGGACGGAAAUUUGAAGAAAACUUAACCUUCUUUUUCUCUUUUCUAUUUGGUUUGAGAGGUAGGAGAUAAUAUUUUUGUUUUUCUCUCA
rnacentral:lncRNA from 1 species